rnacentral:rRNA from 1 species
UGCGUAACACGUGUGUAACCUACCUUUAUCUGGGGGAUAGCCUCUCGAAAGAGAGAUUAACACCGCAUAAAACCACAGGGCAGCAUUGCCUAAUGGUCAAAUAUUUAUAGGAUAAAGAUGGGCAUGCGGGACAUUAGCUAGUUGGCGGGGUAACGGCCCACCAAGGCUACGAUGUUUAGGGGAUCUGAGAGGAUGGCCCCCCACACUGGUACUGAGACACGGACCAG